UCCAGUAACUGAGGUUAGGGGCCUG
rnacentral:piRNA from 1 species